UACAGAGGGUGCGAGCGUUGUCCGGAAUCACUGGGCGUAAAGGGCGCGUAGGCGGCCCGGUAAGGUUGCGGUGAAAGCCCGGGGCUCAACCCCGGGUCGGCCGUGGCAACUGCUGGGCUGGAGCACAGUAGAGGCGGGUGGAAUUCCGGGUGUAGCGGUGGAAUGCGUAGAGAUCCGGAAGAACACCAGUGGCGAAGGCGGCCCGCUGGGCAGUGGCUGACGCUGAGGCGCGACAGCGUGGGGAGCAAACAGG
rnacentral:rRNA from 1 species